UUUCGUGCUAAACACAUGCAAGUCGAACGGUAAGGCCCUUCGGGGUACACGAGUGGCGAACGGGUGAGUAACACGUGGGUAAUCUGCCCUGCACAUCGGGAUAAGCCUGGGAAACUGGGUCUAAUACCGAAUAGGACCACAGAACACAUGUCCUGUGGUGGAAAGCUUUUGCGGUGUGGGAUGGGCCCGCGGCCUAUCAGCUUGUUGGUGGGGUGAUGGCCUACCAAGGCGACGACGGGUAGCCGGCCUGAGAGGGUGUCCGGCCACACUGGGACUGAGAUACGGCCCAGACUCCUACGGGAGGCAGCAGUGGGGAAUAUUGCACAAUGGGCGAAAGCCUGAUGCAGCGACGCCGCGUGGGGGAUGACGGCCUUCGGGUUGUAAACCUCUUUCACCAUCGACGAAGGUCCGGGUUUUCUCGGAUUGACGGUAGGUGGAGAAGAAGCACCGGCCAACUACGUGCCAGCAGCCGCGGUAAUACGUAGGGUGCGAGCGUUGUCCGGAAUUACUGGGCGUAAAGAGCUCGUAGGUGGUU
rnacentral:rRNA from 1 species